UUGGGGUUAGAACUGUCCCUGUUUAAGGGGGGGGGGGGGGGGAGGGGAGGCCUGAACCUUGCUCCCCGCGGCCCCACCCCAAAUAUUGGGGCGCCACCCAGGGCAAGGUCCCCCCCAGACCCCGCCCCCACCCCCAUAAAAGCUGGGGAGGCCGGGGUGAGGCCGCAGCCGCUCCCCCGCCCCCCCCCCCCGCCAUGGACAAGCAGCACCACAAGGAGCCGGGCAAGAAGCACAAGGACGGCCACUCGUCCGACAGCUCCAGCUCCAGCUCCGACAAUGAGGGCAAGCACCACGAGCACAAGAAAAAGGACAAACUGCCCAAGAAAUCCAAGGAGAAGAAGAAGGAGGAGAAGAAAAGUCACUGAGGGGGGGUGAAAAGGGGGUGACAAGGGGUGACAACACCCCCCCCAUGGGGUGACAACACCCCCCCCAUGGGGUGACAACACCCCCCCCGCCCCCCCCCCAUGGGGUGUCACCCCCCCUCCCCUCCCCCUCCCCGCUAAUAAAGAGCUCAAAGGCAUCA